UCCGGGGUAGCUCAGAGGCCAGAGCGGGUGGCUGUUAACCACUAGGUCGUGGGUUCGAAUCCCACCCACGGAG
rnacentral:tRNA from 1 species